GGCAACUUGGCCGAGUUGGUCUAAGGCGUUCGACUCAAGAGUUUAAUCUCUUUCACGAUAAAUCGUGGUUUCGAAUCUCGAAAGGGGCGUGAGUUCGAAUCUCACAGUUGUCA
rfam:Lipomyces starkeyi NRRL Y-11557 unplaced genomic scaffold LIPSTscaffold_14, whole genome shotgun sequence.